GACGAACGCUGGCGGCGUGCCUAACACAUGCAAGUCGAGCGAGUGGAGUUCUUCGGAACAAAGCUAGCGGCGGACGGGUGAGUAACACGUGGGCAACCUGCCUCAUAGAGGGGAAUAGCCUCCCGAAAGGGAGAUUAAUACCGCAUAAGAUUGUAGCUUCGCAUGAAGUAGCAAUUAAAGGAGCAAUCCGCUAUGAGAUGGGCCCGCGGCGCAUUAGCUAGUUGGUGAGGUAACGGCUCACCAAGGCGACGAUGCGUAGCCGACCUGAGAGGGUGAUCGGCCACAUUGGGACUGAGACACGGCCCAGACUCCUACGGGAGGCAGCAGUGGGGAAUAUUGCACAAUGGGGGAAACCCUGAUGCAGCAACGCCGCGUGAGUGAUGACGGCCUUCGGGUUGUAAAGCUCUGUCUUCAGGGACGAU
rnacentral:rRNA from 1 species